CCUUGGGCUUCUCAGGUUCUUUGGGCUUUUCAGGUUGUUUGGGCUUCUCGGGUUCCUUGGGCUUCUCGGGCUGUUUGGGCUUUUCUGGCUCUUUGGGCUUCUCGGGCUGUUUGGGCUUUUCUGGCUCUUUGGGCUUCUCAGAUUCCUUAGGUUUCGCGAGUUCUUUUGGUUUUUCCGGUUCUUUCGGCUUCUCGGGUUCCGUAGACUUCACGGGCUCUUUGGGGUUUUCAGGCUGCUUGGGCUUUUCUGGUUCUUUAGGCUUUUCGGGCUGCUUGGGCUUCUCGGGCUCCUUAGGUUUCUCUGGCUCUUUAGGUUUUGCGGGCUCUUUGGGCUUCUCGGGCUCUUUGGGCUUCUCGGGAGCCUUAGGCUUUGGAGGCUCUUUGAUCUCGAUACUCUUGAUCACUCCCCCUCCUUUGCAACACAAUUUGUCACGAAUUUUUUCAGGAUUGCAACACAAUACAGU
rnacentral:lncRNA from 1 species